GAGCAGAUGAUGAUGCAAUAUGUUUACACUGAUACUUGAUGUAUCAAAAUCGAGCUUUUUAAAACUGAUGCCAG
rnacentral:snoRNA from 1 species